CGACCCUGUUGACUGAAACGCUUGAUUGUUCGAUGAUCACGCUUCAGAAGCUUUGCAAUUUUGAGACUGCUGCAUCCCUCUGCAAGAUAUCUCACUAUUUUUGACUUUUCUGAGCCUGUCAGGUCCUUCUUUUGACCCAUUUUGCCAAAGGAAAGGACGUUGCCUAAUAAUUAUGCACACCUGAUAUAGGGUGUUGAUGUCAUUAGACCACACCCCUUCUCAUUACAGAGAUGCACAUCACCUAAUAUGCUUAAUUGGUAGUAGGCUUUCAAUCCUAUACAGCUUGGAGUAAGACAACAUGCAUGAAGAGGAUGAUGUGGACAAAAUACUCAUUUGCCUAAUAAUUCUGCACUCCCUGUAUUCAGUAUUUAACAUUAAAAGAGAAGAGUGAAAAACCUAUGGGCUCACUUCUAUUACCUGCUACCAUUAAUUUGUCCUUACUUCUGGCAGUAAUAGUCGUAUUACUCCUCAAAUGAAAAGUUUUCCAUUUCAAGUUUUUCAAAAUAAACACAAAGAAAAAGGAAAUUUCAACAGUUAGUACAGCAGUCUAUAUUUAAACACGUGAUUUCUGUUUGCUAAUGAGAGCAGUAAUCAUGAAAAUCAUCAUAAAUAAUGUAAGUUUUGCAUUUGUAAAAGUUCAGCUGAAGCAUAAAUUCUGACAUGUGAAAGGGGACAUGUCCGGAGAGGUCAAAAGGAUGGAUGGGUGUGGCAGGAAACAAUCAUUAGCAUCACACUGAAUUUUUUUUUUUUUUUCAAUCUAUCCAUUCACUCUGCUCUAUUAUCUUUAAAGCACUGGUGGAGUACAGCCACAAAGAGACUGGGCAACUAAGAGUCACCAGUAAACCUCCAUCCAUCCAUUUGCUUCUGCUUACCCUUUUCAGGGUUGUGAGGGGCGCUGGAGCCUAUCCCAGCUGUCAUAGGGCGAGAGGCAGGGUACACCCUGGACAGGUCGCCAGUCUGUCGCAGGGCCAACACACAGGGACAGACAACCAUUCGCACUCACAUUCACUCACACCUAGUGACAAUUUGGAUUAUCCAAUUAACCUAUCCCCACAAGCUGCAUGUCUUUGGACGGUGGGAGGAAGCCGGAGUACCCGGAGGGAACCCACACAAACACGGGGAGAACAUGCAAACUCCACACAGAAAGACCCUGGCCUGAUGGUGGAAUUGAACUCAGGACCUUCUUGCUGUGCGGCAACAGUGCUAACCACCGUGCCGCACCAGUAAACCUAACUUGCAUAUUUUGGACUGUGGGAGGAGAGUGGUGCGGUUAGGGGAAACCUUCACAGGUACAAGGAGAUGGCAAAAAGACUGCCAGCUGGCCACCUGGGGUUACCGAGCCUUCUUGCAGCAGUCCAAUCCUCUGCACCACUGUGCCCCAUUAAGAGUGCAGAGUUAAUUUUGUCACACUAAAAAAUACUACUGUGAACAAAAUGAACUCUGGGCUUUGGGGCUGGGGUUAAAGCUUUAAUUCAACCUUGCGCAUAAUGGCAUGCAUUUUUAAUAAAC
ensembl:lncRNA